rnacentral:rRNA from 1 species
UACGUAGGGUGCGAGCGUUAAUCGGAAUUACUGGGCGUAAAGCGUGCGCAGGCGGUUAUGCAAGCCAGAUGUGAAAUCCCCGGGCUCAACCUGGGAACUGCAUUUGUGACUGCAUGGCUGGAGUGCGGCAGAGGGGGAUGGAAUUCCGCGUGUAGCAGUGAAAUGCGUAGAUAUGCGGAGGAACACCGAUGGCGAAGGCAAUCCCCUGGGCCUGCACUGACGCUCAUGCACGAAAGCGUGGGGAGCAAACAGG